rnacentral:lncRNA from 1 species
AACAACAAAGACAACAACAACAACAAUAACAACGCCGACAACAACGAGGACAACGACACCAACGGCGACAACAACAACAACAACAACAACAACAACAACAAUGACAACAACAACAAAGACAACAGCAACAACAACAACAAAUAAAACAACAACCGCCACCACCACCACCACCACAACGACAACAACAACAACAACAACAACAACAACGACAACAACAACAAUAACAACAACAACAAC